UACGGGGGGGGGUAAGCGUUGUUCGGAAUUACUGGGCGUAAAGGGCUCGUAGGCGGCCAACUAAGUCAGACGUGAAAUCCCUCAGCUUAACUGGGGAACUGCGUCUGAUACUGGAUGGCUUGGAUUCGGGAGAGGAAUGCGGAAUUCCAGGUGUAGCGGUGAAAUGCGUAGAUAUCUGGAGGAACACCGGUGGCGAAGGCGGCAUUCUGGACCGACAUGACGCUGAGGAGCGAAAAGCCCAGGGGGAGCAAAACGGGG
rnacentral:rRNA from 1 species